ACAAUAGGUUGCUAAGCCGCGAGGUGGCGCCAAUCCAUAAAGUUUAGGUCUCAGUUCAGAUUGUAGGCUGCAACCCGCCUGCAUGAAGAUGGAGUUGCUAGUAACCGCAGGUCAGCUAUACUGCGGUGAAUACGUUCCCGGGGCUU
rnacentral:rRNA from 1 species